CCUACGGGGUGCAGCAGUGAGGAAUAUUGGUCAAUGGGCGCAAGCCUGAACCAGCCAAGCCGCGUGAAGGAUGACUGCCCUACGGGUUGUAAACUUCUUUUAUACAGGAAUAAAGUGAGGCACGUGUACCUUUUUGAAUGUACUUUAUGCAUAAGGAUCGGCUAACUCCGUGCCAGCAGCCGCGGUAAUACGGAGGAUCCGAGCGUUAUCCGGAUUUAUUGGGUUUAAAGGGAGCGUAGGUGGGUUGUUAAGUCAGAUGUGAAGGUUUGGGGCUCAACCGUAAAACUGCAAUUGAUACUGGAAGGCUGGAGUACAGUUGAGGUAGGCGGAAUGCAUGGUGUAGCGGUGAAAUGCUUAGAUAUCACGAAGAACUCCGAUUGCGAAGGCAGCUUACUAAACUGCAACUGACGUUGAUGCUCGAAAGUGUGGGGAGCAAACAGGAUUAGAUACCCGGGUAGUC
rnacentral:rRNA from 1 species